AUGAACGCUAGCUACAGGCUUAACACAUGCAAGUCGAGGGGCAGCAUGGUCUUAGCUUGCUAAGGCCGAUGGCGACCGGCGCACGGGUGAGUAACACGUAUCCAACCUGCCGUCUACUCUUGGACAGCCUUCUGAAAGGAAGAUUAAUACAAGAUGGCAUCAUGAGUCCGCAUGUUCACAUGAUUAAAGGUAUUCCGGUAGACGAUGGGGAUGCGUUCCAUUAGAUAGUAGGCGGGGUAACGGCCCACCUAGUCUUCGAUGGAUAGGGGUUCUGAGAGGAAGGUCCCCCACAUUGGAACUGAGACACGGUCCAAACUCCUACGGGAGGCAGCAGUGAGGAAUAUUGGUCAAUGGGCGCAGGCCUGAACCAGCCAAGUAGCGUGAAGGAUGACUGCCCUAUGGGUUGUAAACUUCUUUUAUAAAGGAAUAAAGUCGGGUAUGGAUACCCGUUUGCAUGUACUUUAUGAAUAAGGAUCGGCUAACUCCGUGCCAGCAGCCGCGGUAAUACGGAGGAUCCGAGCGUUAUCCGGAUUUAUUGGGUUUAAAGGGAGCGUAGAUGGAUGUUUAAGUCAGUUGUGAAAGUUUGCGGCUCAACCGUAAAAUUGCAGUUGAUACUGGAUAUCUUGAGUGCAGUUGAGGCAGGCGGAAUUCGUGGUGUAGCGGUGAAAUGCUUAGAUAUCACGAAGAACUCCGAUUGCGAAGGCAGCCUGCUAAGCUGCAACUGACAUUGAGGCUCGAAAGUGUGGGUAUCAAACAGGAUUAGAUACCCUGGUAGUCCACACGGUAAACGAUGAAUACUCGCUGUUUGCGAUAUACGGCAAGCGGCCAAGCGAAAGCGUUAAGUAUUCCACCUGGGGAGUACGCCGGCAACGGUGAAACUCAAAGGAAUUGACGGGGGCCCGCACAAGCGGAGGAACAUGUGGUUUAAUUCGAUGAUACGCGAGGAACCUUACCCGGGCUUAAAUUGCAGAUGAAUUACGGUGAAAGCCGUAAGCCGCAAGGCAUCUGUGAAGGUGCUGCAUGGUUGUCGUCAGCUCGUGCCGUGAGGUGUCGGCUUAAGUGCCAUAACGAGCGCAACCCUUAUCGAUAGUUACCAUCAGGUUAUGCUGGGGACUCUGUCGAGACUGCCGUCGUAAGAUGUGAGGAAGGUGGGGAUGACGUCAAAUCAGCACGGCCCUUACGUCCGGGGCUACACACGUGUUACAAUGGGGGGUACAGAAGGCAGCUACACGGCGACGUGAUGCUAAUCCCGAAAGCCUCUCUCAGUUCGGAUUGGAGUCUGCAACCCGACUCCAUGAAGCUGGAUUCGCUAGUAAUCGCGCAUCAGCCACGGCGCGGUGAAUACGUUCCCGGGCCUUGUACACACCGCCCGUCAAGCCAUGGGAGCCGGGGGUACCUGAAGUGCGUAACCGCGAGGAGCGCCCUAGGGUAAAACUGGUGACUGGGGCU
rnacentral:rRNA from 1 species